UACCAAUGAUUUCCCUAGUAACGGCGAGUGAAGAGGAAAGAGCUCAAAGUUGGAACCUAUUUGGCUUAGCUAAAUCGGAUUGUAAACUGUAGAAGUGUUUUCCAGACACGCCUGGUAAAAAAGUCCUUUGGAACAGGGCAUCAUAGAGGGUGAGAAUCCCGUCAUUGGCCAGAGCUGUUGUCUUUUGUGAUACAUUUUCAAAGAGUCAGGUUGUUUGGGAAUGCAGCCUAAAUUGGGUGGUAAAUCUCACCUAAAGCUAAAUAUUUGCGAGAGACCGAUAGCGAACAAGUACCGUGAGGGAAAGAUGAAAAGAACUUUGAAAAGAGAGUUAAACAGUAUGUGAAAUUGUUAAAAGGGAACCGUUUGGAGCCAGACUGGCUUAAUCGUAAUCAAUCUAGGCUUUGGCCUGGAUGCACUUGGGGUUUAUGCCGGCCAACGACAGUUUUGUUUGGGAGAAAAAAUUACAUUGAAUGUGGCCCCUCGGGGUGUUAUAGCUUUGUAAAAAAUAUCCUGGACUGGACUGAGGAACGCAGUGAAUGCCUUUAGGCAAGAUUGCUGGGUGCUUUCGCUAAUAAAUGCUAGAAUUUCUGCUUCGGGUGGUGCUAGUGUUUAAAGAAGGAACUCGCCUGGUAUAUUUUUUAUUCGCUUAGGUUGUUGGCUUAAUGACUCUAAAUGACCCGUCUUGAAACACGGACCAA
rnacentral:rRNA from 1 species